UACGUAGGGGGCAAGCGUUGUCCGGAUUUAUUGGGCGUAAAGCGCGCGUAGGCGGCGCGGUAUGUCGUGCGUGAAAUCUCCCGGCUUAACUGGGAGGGGCCGUGCGAAACUGUCGGGCUAGAGUGCGGAAGAGGCGAGUGGAAUUCCUGGUGUAGCGGUGAAAUGCGCAGAUAUCAGGAGGAACACCAAUUGCGAAGGCAGCUCGCUGGGACGUAACUGACGCUGAGACGCGAAAGCGUGGGGAGCAAACAGG
rnacentral:rRNA from 1 species